rnacentral:rRNA from 1 species
UGAACGCUGGCGGCGUGCCUAAUACAUGCAAGUCGAGCGAACAGACGAGGAGCUUGCUCCUCUGACGUUAGCGGCGGACGGGUGAGUAACACGUGGAUAACCUACCUAUAAGACUGGGAUAACUUCGGGAAACCGGAGCUAAUACCGGAUAAUAUAUUGAACCGCAUGGUUCAAUAGUGAAAGACGGUUUUGCUGUCACUUAUAGAUGGAUCCGCGCCGCAUUAGCUAGUUGGUAAGGUAACGGCUUACCUAGGCGACGAUGCGUAGCCGACCUGAGAGGGUGAUCGGCCACACUGGAACUGAGACACGGUCCAGACUCCUACGGGAGGCAGCAGUAGGGAAUCUUCCGCAAUGGGCGAAAGCCUGACGGAGCAACGCCGCGUGAGUGAUGAAGGUCUUCGGAUCGUAAAACUCUGUUAUUAGGGAAGAACAAAUGUGUAAGUAACUAUGCACGUCUUGACGGUACCUAAUCAGAAAGCCACGGCUAACUACGUG